UACAGAGGGGGCAAGCGUUGUUCGGAAUUACUGGGCGUAAAGGGCGCGUAGGCGGCCUGUUAAGUCGAACGUGAAAUCCCCGGGCUCAACCCGGGAACUGCGUCCGAUACUGGCAGGCUUGAAUCCGGGAGAGGGAUGCGGAAUUCCAGGUGUAGCGGUGAAAUGCGUAGAUAUCUGGAGGAACACCGGUGGCGAAGGCGGCAUCCUGGACCGGCAUUGACGCUGAGGCGCGAAAGCUGGGGGAGCAAACGGG
rnacentral:rRNA from 1 species